rnacentral:rRNA from 1 species
UAGGGAAUCUUCGGCAAUGGGGGCAACCCUGACCGAGCAACGCCGCGUGAGUGAAGAAGGUUUUCGGAUCGUAAAGCUCUGUUGUAAGAGAAGAACGUGUGUGAGAGUGGAAAGUUCACACAGUGACGGUAACUUACCAGAAAGGGACGGCUAACUACGUGCCAGCAGCCGCGGUAAUACGUAGGUCCCGAGCGUUGUCCGGAUUUAUUGGGCGUAAAGCGAGCGCAGGCGGUUUAAUAACUCUGAAGUUAAAGGCAGUGGCUUAACCAUUGUUCGCUUUGGAAACUGUUAAACUUGAGUGCAGAAGGGGAGAGUGGAAUUCCAUGUGUAGCGGUGAAAUGCGUAGAUAUAUGGAGGAACACCGGUGGCGAAAGCGGCUCUCUGGUCUGUAACUGACGCUGAGGCUCGAAAGCGUGGGGAGCAAACAGG